AGCCUACUAGCUCAAUGGGUAGAGCAUUGUGCAAAUGGGCAAAAAAUGUGGGUUCGAAUCCCACGUAGGUUA
rfam:Spinacia oleracea cultivar SynViroflay scaffold17181.con0002.1, whole genome shotgun sequence.